GAUGAACGCUGACAGAAUGCUUAACACAUGCAAGUCAACUUGAAUUUGGGUUUUUAACUUAGAUUUGGGUGGCGGACGGGUGAGUAACGCGUAAAGAACUUGCCUCACAGCUAGGGACAACAUUUAGAAAUGAAUGCUAAUACCUGAUAUUAUGAUUUUAGGGCAUCCUAGGAUUAUGAAAGCUAUAUGCACUGUGAGAGAGCUUUGCGUCCCAUUAGCUAGUUGGAGAGGUAACGGCUCACCAAGGCGAUGAUGGGUAGCCGGCCUGAGAGGGUGAUCGGCCACAAGGGGACUGAGACACGGCCCUUACUCCUACGGGAGGCAGCAGUGGGGAAUAUUGGACAAUGGACCAAGAGUCUGAUCCAGCAAUUCUGUGUGCACGAUGAAGUUUUUCGGAAUGUAAAGUGCUCUCAGUUGGGAAGAAAAAAAUGACGGUACCAACAGAAGAAGUGACGGCUAAAUACGUGCCAGCAGCCGCGGUAAUACGUAUGUCACAAGCGUUAUCCGGAUUUAUUGGGCGUAAAGCGCGUCUAGGUGGUUAUGUAAGUCUGAUGUGAAAAUGCAGGGCUCAACUCUGUAUUGCGUUGGAAACUGUGUAACUAGAGUACUGGAGAGGUAAGCGGAACUACAAGUGUAGAGGUGAAAUUCGUAGAUAUUUGUAGGAAUGCCGAUGGGGAAGCCAGCUUACUGGACAGAUACUGACGUUGAAGCGCGAAAACGUGGGUAGCAAACAGG
rnacentral:rRNA from 1 species